GAUGAACGCUAGCUACAGGCUUAACACAUGCAAGUCGAGGGGUAACGAGAGGAAAGCUUGCUUUCCUUGUCGACGACCGGCGCACGGGUGAGUAACGCGUAUCCAACCUGCCCCCAACUAGGGAAUAACCUUGCGAAAGUAAGACUAAUACCCUAUAAUUUCCUCAGAUGUCAUCUGACGAGGAAUAAAGAUUUAUCGGUUGUGGAUGGGGAUGCGUCUGAUUAGCUUGUUGGCGGGGUAACGGCCCACCAAGGCAACGAUCAGUAGGGGUUCUGAGAGGAAGGUCCCCAACAUUGGAACUGAGACACGGUCCAAACUCCUACGGGAGGCAGCAGUGAGGAAUAUUGGUCAAUGGGCGGAAGCCUGAACCAGCCAAGUAGCGUGCAGGAUGACGGCCCUAUGGGCUGUAAACUGCUUUUAUACAGGAAUAAAGUUAGCCACGUGUGGUUAUUUGUAGGUACUGUAUGAAUAAGGACCGGCUAAUUCCGUGCCAGCCGCCGCGGUAAGAC
rnacentral:rRNA from 1 species